AUGUGAUUACCUGAGGAUCUUGUUAAAAUGCAUAUUCUGAUUCAGUGGGACUGGAAUGGAGCCUGAGAUUCUGUGAUUUUAACAAGCUCUCAAGUAAUGUCAAU
rnacentral:pre_miRNA from 1 species